UACGUAGGGGGCAAGCGUUGUCCGGAAUCAUUGGGCGUAAAGAGCGCGUAGGCGGCCCGAUAAGUCCGCUGUGAAAGUCAAGGGCUCAACCCUUGAAUGCCGGUGGAUACUGUCGGGCUAGAGUCCGGAAGAGGCGAGUGGAAUCCUGGUGUAGCGGUGAAAUGCGCAGAUAUCAGGAGGAACACCAAUGGCGAAGGCAGCUCGCUGGGGACGGUACUGACGCUGAGGCGCGAAAGCGUGGGGGAGCAAACAGG
rnacentral:rRNA from 1 species